rnacentral:hammerhead_ribozyme from 1 species
AUUCAGAUGACCAGUCCUAGAUAGGACGAAACGUGCAUCCUGGAU